rnacentral:lncRNA from 1 species
UGGCAUGAGAGCAAGCCCGUGCUCUCCUCUACAGAGACAGAAGCCAGACAUGCCUUUUCCAUGUGCUGAUCUCCAAGUCCCAGCUAGUAGGCCACAUGACAUCACAGUCCUGCUCUUCCUCAAUGGAAUGUCUCCACCAUCUACCCAUUUGCCCAAGUGGGAAACCUGGCCAGGGAUCCUCAGUGCCUCCUGUCUGUCUCACCUCCCCGUAUCCAAC